CUUUCAUGUUCUGUCUCCCUUUCUGAUAUUUCCCACUCAUUUUUUCUCCUUUCCCCUUUAUUCCCUUUCCCUAUUUUAUUACAAAAUAUUUUAAAGAAUGUUCCAUGAGUAGCAUUCUCUUAAAUUCACUUCUCUCACCAGAACAAGCAACCAUGCUGAGAACUGGUGUCCCAAACAGUUUAUAAGGACCUGUGGGGUUAUCAGCUGAUAAAGCUGGAAAGUAAGUGGAGACUAGGUGCUUUGGGGAUGCCACAAUUUAAAAGUUUAAAAUUGCUAUACUGUUCUUAAAAUUGUUUUAAAAUAUAUCCUUUUAAUUAAGACACUAAUUUUAAAGUAAUCAAAGCAUCUUGUCCCCAAAAUUAUUUCAGUCAGCUAUGGAAUUUUUUACUUUGAUGAGUUCAGGAUUUUGAGGACACUUGUAAUAAUUUUUUCAAAAUGAACAAUCAUUUAUACACACAUUAUCAAUUUUAUAAGUCUAUUUAAUCCCUAUACUUUUUCUUAAAGCAAGUGUUCUACAACUGAAAAAGAAGCUAAAUCAUGGAUUGAGAUUUUUAUCUUUAAAGAAAAGAAGAAAUGAGAAGGUAUAAAUGAUGGAAUGCUAUUCUUCAUGAGCCAAGUAAAGUUUGUUAUUGAAUGGAGGUAUUUUGUUUGAUCAUCAACUUUACUACAUCACAGUAAUAUAAUACAUGGCUAAAAUAUUUUCUGCCCAGUUGAAAGUCAAGAAAAGAGUCUCAGAAAAGGAUUGAAGUUGUUAAAUUAACCACAACAUUCUGGACAAUUAUGAAGCAAAAAUGAAAAAAAAAGAGUGAGAAAGAAAAAGAAAAACUAAAGAAAGAAGAAAAAAAUAUUUGAAGACACUCAAAUGAUAAAAAAGAAAAAGAAGAAGAAAUGUAAUAUGUUCUAGCAACCAUCUUAGUAAUGGAAGGGAAAAAUAUUUUACCAUCAUAUCCUCAGAAAACCCACAAAAAAGAGGUACAAAUUCCAAUUAAAUUCCUAGUUCCACAGCUCCAAUUCAGGCAGAAUUACACCUUUGCCUACAUUAGUUUCAUGAAUUCCUUUAGUUCCUGAUUUCCUGGAGCCCUGAGAAGAGAAGGAUUAAUAAGUGACAUAUUAGCCAGAGAAAAAGAAAAAAAGAAGGAAAAAAAAGGCUUAGCUUUCACAGAUGGUUUGUACAAGGACACCAAAGGAAGACAGGAGCAAGAGUGGAAUCAUCAAGAAUAACAGCAAGGUCAACAGGAUUCCCAAGUAUAGAGAAAGGAGAAACUCUCCAAAAUUACAAAAAGAAGCAGUGUUUCCACAAAAAGAAAAACAAACUCUCCCAGGAUGGAGAAGUUUAACAUUUGGGGAUCCCUGGAUGGCUCAGCGGUUUAACGCCUGCCUUCGGCUCAGGGCAUGAUCCUGGGAUCCCAGGAUCGAGUCCCUCACUGGGCUCCCUGCAUGG